rnacentral:rRNA from 1 species
GGGUUGUGAGGUUAAGCGACUAAGCGUACACGGUGGAUGCCCUGGCAGUCAGAGGCGACGAAGGACGUGCUAAUCUGCGAUAAGCGUCGGUGAGGUGAUAUGAACCGUUAUAACCGGCGAUUUCCGAAUGGGGAAACCCAGUGUGUUUCGACACACUAUCAUUAACUGAAUCCAUAGGUUAAUGAGGCGAACCGGGGGAACUGAAACAUCUAAGUACCCCGAGGAAAAGAAAUCAACCGAGAUUCCCCCAGUAGCGGCGAGCGAACGGGGAGCAGCCCAGAGCCUGAAUCAGUGUGUGUGUUAGUGGAAGCGUCUGGAAAGGCGCGCGAUACAGGGUGACAGCCCCGUACACAAAAAUGCACAUGCUGUGAGCUCGAUGAGUAGGGCGGGACACGUGGUAUCCUGUCUGAAUAUGGGGGGACCAUCCUCCAAGGCUAAAUACUCCUGACUGACCGAUAGUGAACCAGUACCGUGAGGGAAAGGCGAAAAGAACCCCGGCGAGGGGAGUGAAAAAGAACCUGAAACCGUGUACGUACAAGCAGUGGGAGCCUCUUUAUGGGGUGACUGCGUACCUUUUGUAUAAUGGGUCAGCGACUUAUAUUCUGUAGCAAGGUUAACCGAAUAGGGGAGCCGAAGGGAAACCGAGUCUUAACUGGGCGUUAAGUUGCAGGGUAUAGACCCGAAACCCGGUGAUCUAGCCAUGGGCAGGUUGAAGGUUGGGUAACACUAACUGGAGGACCGAACCGACUAAUGUUGAAAAAUUAGCGGAUGACUUGUGGCUGGGGGUGAAAGGCCAAUCAAACCGGGAGAUAGCUGGUUCUCCCCGAAAGCUAUUUAGGUAGCGCCUCGUGAAUUCAUCUCCGGGGGUAGAGCACUGUUUCGGCAAGGGGGUCAUCCCGACUUACCAACCCGAUGCAAACUGCGAAUACCGGAGAAUGUUAUCACGGGAGACACACGGCGGGUGCUAACGUCCGUCGUGAAGAGGGAAACAACCCAGACCGCCAGCUAAGGUCCCAAAGUCAUGGUUAAGUGGGAAACGAUGUGGGAAGGCCCAGACAGCCAGGAUGUUGGCUUAGAAGCAGCCAUCAUUUAAAGAAAGCGUAAUAGCUCACUGGUCGAGUCGGCCUGCGCGGAAGAUGUAACGGGGCUAAACCAUGCACCGAAGCUGCGGCAGCGACGCUUAUGCGUUGUUGGGUAGGGGAGCGUUCUGUAAGCCUGCGAAGGUGUGCUGUGAGGUAUGCUGGAGGUAUCAGAAGUGCGAAUGCUGACAUAAGUAACGAUAAAGCGGGUGAAAAGCCCGCUCGCCGGAAGACCAAGGGUUCCUGUCCAACGUUAAUCGGGGCAGGGUGAGUCGACCCCUAAGGCGAGGCCGAAAGGCGUAGUCGAUGGGAAACAGGUUAAUAUUCCUGUACUUGGUGUUACUGCGAAGGGGGGACGGAGAAGGCUAUGUUGGCCGGGCGACGGUUGUCCCGGUUUAAGCGUGUAGGCUGAUUUUCCAGGCAAAUCCGGAAAAUCAAGGCUGAGGCGUGAUGACGAGGCACUACGGUGCUGAAGCAACAAAUGCCCUGCUUCCAGGAAAAGCCUCUAAGCAUCAGGUAACAUCAAAUCGUACCCCAAACCGACACAGGUGGUCAGGUAGAGAAUACCAAGGCGCUUGAGAGAACUCGGGUGAAGGAACUAGGCAAAAUGGUGCCGUAACUUCGGGAGAAGGCACGCUGAUAUGUAGGUGAAGCGACUUGCUCGUGGAGCUGAAAUCAGUCGAAGAUACCAGCUGGCUGCAACUGUUUAUUAAAAACACAGCACUGUGCAAACACGAAAGUGGACGUAUACGGUGUGACGCCUGCCCGGUGCCGGAAGGUUAAUUGAUGGGGUUAGCGGUAACGCGAAGCUCUUGAUCGAAGCCCCGGUAAACGGCGGCCGUAACUAUAACGGUCCUAAGGUAGCGAAAUUCCUUGUCGGGUAAGUUCCGACCUGCACGAAUGGCGUAAUGAUGGCCAGGCUGUCUCCACCCGAGACUCAGUGAAAUUGAACUCGCUGUGAAGAUGCAGUGUACCCGCGGCAAGACGGAAAGACCCCGUGAACCUUUACUAUAGCUUGACACUGAACAUUGAGCCUUGAUGUGUAGGAUAGGUGGGAGGCUUUGAAGUGUGGACGCCAGUCUGCAUGGAGCCGGCCUUGAAAUACCACCCUUUAAUGUUUGAUGUUCUAACGUUGGCCCCUGAUCGGGGUUGCGGACAGUGUCUGGUGGGUAGUUUGACUGGGGCGGUCUCCUCCUAAAGAGUAACGGAGGAGCACGAAGGUUGGCUAAUCCUGGUCGGACAUCAGGAGGUUAGUGCAAUGGCAUAAGCCAGCUUGACUGCGAGCGUGACGGCGCGAGCAGGUGCGAAAGCAGGUCAUAGUGAUCCGGUGGUUCUGAAUGGAAGGGCCAUCGCUCAACGGAUAAAAGGUACUCCGGGGAUAACAGGCUGAUACCGCCCAAGAGUUCAUAUCGACGGCGGUGUUUGGCACCUCGAUGUCGGCUCAUCACAUCCUGGGGCUGAAGUAGGUCCCAAGGGUAUGGCUGUUCGCCAUUUAAAGUGGUACGCGAGCUGGGUUUAGAACGUCGUGAGACAGUUCGGUCCCUAUCUGCCGUGGGCGCUGGAGAACUGAGGGGGGCUGCUCCUAGUACGAGAGGACCGGAGUGGACGCAUCACUGGUGUUCGGGUUGUCAUGCCAAUGGCACUGCCCGGUAGCUAAAUGCGGAAGAGAUAAGUGCUGAAAGCAUCUAAGCACGAAACUUGCCCCGAGAUGAGUUCUCCCUGAGACUUAGAGUCUCCUGAAGGAACGUUGAAGACGACGACGUUGAUAGGCCGGGUGUGUAAGCGCAGCGAUGCGUUGAGCUAACCGGUACUAAUGAACCGUGAGGCUUAACCUUACAACGCCGAAG